GCCGGGGUGGCACAAUCUGGUACUGCGUAAGCCUGCUAAGCUUAUUUCCCGCAAGGGAUUUCCGGGUUCAAAUCCCGGCCCCGGCG
rnacentral:tRNA from 2 species